GAGAGGUUUGUUUCUUAGAGGUGUAUUUGCAUUUGCUAAGAGUAAGCUCGUAUGUAUAUAAGUAUAUGCAUGUGGUAGGAAUAAAGGCUGCUGGUAUGUUUUUAUUACUUUAUUAAGGACAGCUUAUAUGUUCUAACGUUUAAAGCUAUAUCCGACAUGAUUCGAAAAAGAAUAAUUGUUCUUUUAUGUAAAUAUUUUGUUUCUUUCUAAUUGUUUAUGUGUUGUCUUCUCUUAAUGGCU